AAACUCAGUUCAUACCAGCCAUUCUAGGGGUGGUGUGAGUUGUCAUCCUUAGGAAACCAUGUUGUUGUAGAAUCAACCACAUCCUUCAAAAGGACUAUGCCUGUUUAUAAGCCCAGCUGUUUCUGCCCUGUGAAACAUGCAAGGAUAUUAAUACAAAAGAGAAUAGAGCUUUAUGAUAAAAGAUGCCCAAUGAAAGACGAAUUAGGGAUAUACUGAGAAUGGGGAAGGAAAUUGUCUACUCAGAAGUUAGCAGGCAUUAAGCAAAAGAGGAGAAAUCAAUAUAGCAACAGUUUGGAUCAGACUGUCCUUUUUUUUUUUUUUUUUUUUUUUUUUUUUUUUUUUUUUUUUUUUUUUUCUGAGACAGAAUCUCACUCUGUCACCCAGGCUGGAGUGCAAUGUGUGAUCUCAGCUCACUGCAACCUCCGCCUCCCAGGUUCAAGCGAUUCUCCUUCUUCAGCCUCCCGAGUAGGUGGGAUUAUAGGUGCCUGCCACCACGCCCGGCUAUUUUUUUGUGUUUUUAGUAGAGAUGGGGUUUCACUGUAUUAGCCAGGAUGGUCUCGAUCUCCUGACCUUGUGAUUCACCCACCCUGGCCUCCCAAAGUGCUGGGAUUACAGGCGUGAGCCACUGCACUCGGCCCAGACUGUACUUUUAUAGCCAUCUGAAAUAUGUUUCCUAGCUAUAGAUAGAUUGUGUAAGGGUACAGUUGUGAGGAUAACAGAAACAUGGCAGAUUAUUUAAAAUCAUCCUGAAAGUGAUGCUUUAUCUGAUGAAAGUGAUUGUAAUCCAUAGGGAAUCGUUUCUAAGCGCGCGAGAGUUGCAGCGGCAGGCAGAGAACUACAGACGCAAAGUAAGGACCUUCCUCCCCACGGUUGCAGGAUUGUUCGGUGCUGAUGCAGAUGAUGCCAUGGCCCUUAGAUUCUCUCAACAUUCAAUUUCUCAUGUGUUGGCUUUUUCAGAUCACCCCUUCUGCAAUAAAGGCUCUUGACAACCAGGUAAGUUUGUUUGUUUUCCUUGCUUUUGGACAUAGUCUGCCAGGUCAGAACGUGGAUGUAUUUUUCUCCCCACAGCUCUUUGCUCUAACCUUGCAGUGGGAGAUGGCCGAGAGGAAGGCUUACAAGCAGCACGGGUGUGAAAUGAGGGAAAAGCGGAGAAUGCCAGAGACACACAUGAGUGAGGAGUCAGUCCAGGAACGACCGGGCCUAAAGAACCCUUUCUGGAGAGGUAGGAGCUCACUGUGAAGGCAGCUGCUUAAUUUCUGCUACACAAUCCACACACCCUGCUUCUCCUUUUGGGGGUGAGGGCUCGGGUGGGGUAAUUGUUAUGUUUCCUGGAAACAAUUCCAAGCACUUACAAAGAGAACAGUAGGACCCUAUUUAUCUCAGGUGCCCUAGCUGAAUGGCUCUUGGCUGGUCCCCUGUGAAUGGUGCAGCUCAGGCCGCUCCACCGACUGUGGACAUUACCCCACCCUGAUGUCUUGGUUACUUUUAACUGAGGAGAUGAGCCUAGAAGGCAAAUGGGCCAGCUCCCUUUUCCACCUUGACUCAGUGUGAAGGCUUUUUCUUUCAUUUGAGAAAACAACAAUAGCACUUUAGAAUGGGAGCCACAUGUUGGGAUGAGAGCAUAGAUUUUCUGGCCACGUCUUCAUGGAUCACUACUGUAGCAUGAGCUCUGCUUUAAGAAAAGAAGCAGGCUGGGUGCGGUGGCUCAUGCCUGUAAUCCCAGCAUUUUGGGAGCCUGAGGCGGGCGGAUCACAAGGUCAGGAGAUCAAGACCAUCCUGGCUAACAUGGUGAAACCCCGUCUCUACUAAAAAUACAGAAAAAAUUAGGUGGGUGUGGUGGCGGGCGCCUGUAGUCCCAGCUACUUGGGAGGCUGAGGCAGGAGAAUGGCAUGAACCCAGGAGGCAGACUUGCAGUGAGCUGAGAUCGUACCACUGCACUCCAGCCUGGGCGACAGAGCGAGAGUCCGUCUCAAAAAAAAAAAAAAAAAAAAAAAAAAAGAAGAAGUAUUUAUUUACACUUUUUGGAACUUCCUUCAUUCUUUUUGUUUGUUUAAGUUGUUUAUUGUCAACUAUAUAACUCCAUUAGUAAGUUAAAUUUCUAUGUAAUCUUACUCCUCUAACAUUUGAAGUGGAACCCUAAAACUUUCCAGUUAAUUUCUGUAGCUCUUACCUUUUCUCAUGACUGUUCAUCUUUUUAUGUCCAUUUCUGUUCAUAAGUAUUGGUAAUACCUGGCCAGGU
rnacentral:lncRNA from 1 species